GUUUUAUCUGGAGUAUUUUUCGGCAAAACACCCCUGCCGACCGGAGGAAUGUGCAGAGUGUCAUCCUGUUGAUCGACAGGGACUUACACCAAUAUCCGGCGUUUGCAAGCAACAACCGGAUUCACGUUAGUGCGAGCUACAUCGCCCGCUACAAUGGAGAUGUGAGGAUGGCAGUUACAGGUACAUUUAAUUGAACUAAACUUAAAAUUUUCUCUUUUAUAUCAUAGCUUUCAAUAAUUAAAUCAUUUGGGACACCGAGUUGAGUUUCUUGUCCAGAGCUCAACUUAAUCAAUGGGUCUAAAGCUCAAAGUUAAUUCAAGUCCAACCCAGUUUCCGUCCUAAAGUUAACAUUUGAGUAGAGUCCAAUUUAACACAAACAAAUAUGCAUAUAUAUCAAGUUAUUGAUGUGUUAUAUUAUAUAUAUAUAUAUUAAAAAAACAAUAAUCAUGCUCUUUAAUUAAGAAAUUAUGAGUUAACAAACCUGGAGGAAAUAUAUUUUAAACAAAAUCUACUUAUGUAAACUAAAUAAGAGUAGGUUUUUUUAAACUUGUAUACACGAUAAAAGGUUAGAGAAUGGAAUUUCUCACAAGAAUAUAUAUGAUAUUAAUUAAAUAAUCAAUGAAAAAAUAAUAACAUGUGAUAGUUAAUGAAAAGGAAUGAUCAAAAUCUAAAAUGUAAUAGAGAUUAAGGAAAAUUUUAAUUAAUUUUCAGGGAUCUUGUACCAUGAAAUGGUACAUGUCUGGCAAUGGAACGGAAACGGGGCAGCGCCGGGGUGGUUGAUC
rnacentral:lncRNA from 1 species